rnacentral:ncRNA from 2 species
GGCGGUAACCACGUUAUCGGUGCCCAGGUCGGUCACGCCCUGGGUUAAACGGGAAACAGGUGCGCGCUAUCCCCCGAUGGAUGCAAUGCCUGUGCUGCCCCCGCAACGGUAAGUGCGAGUCUGUGGAACCUGUGCCACUGGGACGACAACGUCCUGGGAAGGCGUUCCACAUGUCCGGUUAACCGGACCAACGCACCAGCCCGGAGACCGGCCGAAACGUACAGAGUCGG